rnacentral:rRNA from 1 species
CCUACGGGAGACAGCAGUCGAGAAUCAUUCACAAUGGGGGAAACCCUGAUGGUGCGACGCCGCGUGGGGGAAUGAAGGUCUUCGGAUUGUAAACCCCUGUCAUGUGGGAGCAAAUUAAAAAGAUAGUACCACAAGAGGAAGAGACGGCUAACUCUGUGCCAGCAGCCGCGGUAAUACAGAGGUCUCAAGCGUUGUUCGGAAUCACUGGGCGUAAAGCGUGCGUAGGCUGUUUCGUAAGUCGUGUGUGAAAGGUGCGGGCUCAACCCGCGGACGGCACAUGAUACUGCGAGACUAGAGUAAUGGAGGGGGAACCGGAAUUCUCGGUGUAGCAGUGAAAUGCGUAGAUAUCGAGAGGAACACUCGUGGCGAAGGCGGGUUCCUGGACAUUAACUGACGCUGAGGCACGAAGGCCAGGGGAGCGAAAGGGAUUAGAUACCCGAGUAGUC